rnacentral:rRNA from 1 species
ACCAAGUCUACGAUCUAUAGCUGGUUUUAGAGGAUGAUCAGCAACACUGGGACUGAGACACGGCCCAGACUCCUACGGGAGGCAGCAGUGGGGAAUCUUAGACAAUGGGCGCAAGCCUGAUCUAGCCAUGCCGCGUGUGUGAUGAAGGUCUUAGGAUCGUAAAGCACUUUCGCCAGGGAUGAUAAUGACAGUACCUG